rnacentral:rRNA from 1 species
CAAUAGCGUAUAUUAAAGUUGUUGCAGUUAAAAGCUCGUAGUUGAAUUUCUGGCGGGCGCGCCGGUCUUCCAAGUGUUGUACUGGGCGCAGUCCGCCAUCCUUGUGGAGAGGGCUCGCAUUGAGUUGCGUGUCGGAUCUGCAUCAUUUACUGUGAAAAAAUUAGAGUGUUUAAAGCAGGCUGUCGCUUGAAUACAUUAGCAUGGAAUAAUAAGAUAGGACUUCGGUCUAUUUUGUUGGUUGCGAACCGAGGUAAUGUUUAAUAGGGAUAGUUGGGGGUAUUCAUAUUUAAUUGCCAGAGGUGAAAUUCUUGGAUUUAUGAAAGAUGAACAACUGCGAAAGCAUUUACCAAGGAUGUUUUCAUUAA